ACACCCCUCACUUUUAAUUUUUAAUUAUCUCACACACACUAAACACACACACAACUCACGCAUAUCUCCAUUGUUGAGGAGUUGGAGCUUUUGAGCUCCGUUUUGAGCGAGAAGACGAGCCCCGAUCAUCUUUUCGAACACGUAUCUAAGUAGGUCCUUUUGGGAAGUAACGACUUGAGGGAGAGAGUGACGUUACUCAUUGAUACAGAGACACAACGAGGUUGAGCUGAUGUGAUGAUGGUGCUGCAAUGAGCGGAGUCUCAAGGGUUGUUAAUAAAUAGUUAACCUGUCUAGAAUAUGUCUUCAUACAUAUGUCUAGCUACUUUCCGCUGCAAGAUGUUGUUGAUGUUAUAGUAUGUUAUGUCAUACUUUGAGUCUUAAGAGAAUGGUUUCAUAUGAUGUAUAACUUGAUUAAUGAUAUUAAUUAACUUUUAUGCUGUCUUUCAUAGACUGUUUUCAAUUGAGUAU